AACGAACGCUGGCGGCAGGCUUAACACAUGCAAGUCGAGCGCCCCGCAAGGGGAGCGGCAGACGGGUGAGUAACGCGUGGGAAUCUACCCAUCCCUACGGAAUAGCUCCGGGAAACUGGAAUUAAUACCGUAUACGCCCUACGGGGGAAAGAUUUAUCGGGGAUGGAUGAGCCCGCGUGGGAUUAGCUAGUUGGUGGGGUAAAAGCCUACCAAGGCGACGAUCCAUAGCUGGUCUGAGAGGAUGAUCAGCCACAUUGGGACUGAGACACGGCCCAAACUCCUACGGGAGGCAGCAGUGGGGAAUAUUGGACAAUGGGGGCAACCCUGAUCCAACCAUGCCGCGUGAGUGAUGAAGGCCUUAGGGUUGUAAAGCUCUUUCACCUGGGAAGAUAAUGACGGUACCCGGAGAAGAAGCCCCGGCUAACUUCGUGCCAGCCGCCGCGGUAAUAC
rnacentral:rRNA from 1 species